CGGGGUGAGUAAUGUCUGGGAAACUGCCUGAUGGAGGGGGGUAACUACUGGAAACGGUAGCUAAUACCGCAUAACGUCGCAAGACCAAAGUGGGGGACCUUCGGGCCUCAUGCCAUAAGAUGUGCCCAGAUGGGAUUAGCUAGUAGGUGGGGUAACGGCUCACCUAGGCGACGAUCCCUAGCUGGUCUGAGAGGAUGACCAGCCACACUGGAACUGAGACACGGUCCAG
rnacentral:rRNA from 1 species